UACGGAGGUUGCAAGCGUUAUCCGGAUUUAUUGGGUUUAAAGGGUGCGUAGGCGGGAUGAUAAGUCAGUGGUGAAAGCCUGUAGCUUAACUAUAGAAUUGCCAUUGAUACUGUCGUUCUUGAGUGUAGUUGAGGUGGGCGGAAUGUGUAAUGUAGCGGUGAAAUGCUUAGAGAUUACACAGAACACCGAUUGCGUAGGCAGCUCACUAAACUAUAACUGACGCUGAGGCACGAAAGCGUGGGGAG
rnacentral:rRNA from 1 species